GACGAACGCUGGCGGCGUGCUUAACACAUGCAAGUCGAACGGAAAGGCCCUGCUUUUGUGGGGUGCUCGAGUGGCGAACGGGUGAGUAACACGUGAGUAACCUGCCCUUGACUUUGGGAUAACUUCAGGAAACUGGGGCUAAUACCGGAUAGCAGCUCCUGCUGCAUGGUGGGGGUUGGAAAGUUUCGGCGGUUGGGGAUGGACUCGCGGCUUAUCAGCUUGUUGGUGGGGUAGUGGCUUACCAAGGCUUUGACGGGUAGCCGGCCUGAGAGGGUGGCCGGCCACAUUGGGACUGAGAUACGGCCCAGACUCCUACGGGAGGCAGCAGUGGGGAAUAUUGCACAAUGGGCGGAAGCCUGAUGCAGCAACGCCGCGUGCGGGAUGACGGCCUUCGGGUUGUAAACCGCUUUCGCCUGUGACGAAGCGUGAGUGACGGUAAUGGGUAAAGAAGCACCGGCUAACUACGUG
rnacentral:rRNA from 1 species